rnacentral:rRNA from 1 species
UGCUCAGAUUGAACGCUGGCGGCAUGCCUUACACAUGCAAGUCGAACGGCAGCACGGGUGCUUGCACCUGGUGGCGAGUGGCGAACGGGUGAGUAAUACAUCGGAACAUGUCCUGUAGUGGGGGAUAGCCCGGCGAAAGCCGGAUUAAUACCGCAUACGAUCUGAGGAUGAAAGCGGGGGACCUUCGGGCCUCGCGCUAUAGGGUUGGCCGAUGGCUGAUUAGCUAGUUGGUGGGGUAAAGGCCUACCAAGGCGACGAUCAGUAGCUGGUCUGAGAGGACGACCAGCCACACUGGGACUGAGACACGGCCCAGACUCCUACGGGAGGCAGCAGUGGGGAAUCUUGGACAAUGGGCGAAAGCCUGAUCCAGCAAUGCCGCGUGUGUGAAGAAGGCCUUCGGGUUGUAAAGCACUUUUGUCCGGAAAGAAAUCCUUGGUUCUAAUAUAGCCGGGGGAUGACGGUACCGGAAGAAUAAGCACCGGCUAACUACGUGCCAGCAGCCGCGGUAAUACGUAGGGUGCAAGCGUUAAUCGGAAUUACUGGGCGUAAAGCGUGCGCAGGCGGUUUGCUAAGACCGAUGUGAAAUCCCCGGGCUCAACCUGGGAACUGCAUUGGUGACUGGCANGCUAGAGUAUGGCAGAGGGGGGUAGAAUUCCACGUGUAGCAGUGAAAUGCGUAGAGAUGUGGAGGAAUACCGAUGGCGNA